rnacentral:rRNA from 1 species
CCUACGGGUGGCAGCAGUGAGGAAUAUUGGUCAAUGGGCGCAAGCCUGAACCAGCCAAGUCGCGUGAGGGAUGACGGUCCUAUGGAUUGUAAACCUCUUUUGUCGGGGAGCAAGGCCCGCCACGUGUGGCGGGAAGGAGAGUACCCGAAGAAAAAGCAUCGGCUAACUCCGUGCCAGCAGCCGCGGUAAUACGGAGGAUGCGAGCGUUAUCCGGAUUUAUUGGGUUUAAAGGGUGCGUAGGCGGAAGGUUAAGUAAGCGGUCAAAUGUCGGUGCUCAACACCGGCCUGCCGUUGAAACUGGUCGUCUUGAGUGAGCGAGAAGUAUGCGGAAUGCGUGGUGUAGCGGUGAAAUGCAUAGAUAUCACGCAGAACUCCGAUUGCGAAGGCAGCAUACUGGCGCUCAACUGACGCUGAGGCACGAAAGCGUGGGGAUCGAACAGGAUUAGAUACCCUGGUAGUC